rnacentral:rRNA from 1 species
GGGCCCGCACAAGCGGUGGAGCAUGUGGUUUAAUUCGAUGCAACGCGAAGAACCUUACCUACUCUUGACAUCCAGAGAAGCCAGCGGAGACGCAGGUGUGCCUUCGGGAACUCUGAGACAGGUGCUGCAUGGCUGUCGUCAGCUCGUGUUGUGAAAUGUUGGUUAAGUCCCGCAACGAGCGCAACCCUUAUCCUUGUUUGCCAGCACGUAAUGGUGGGAACUCCAGGGAGACUGCCGGUGAUAAACCGGAGGAAGGUGGGGACGACGUCAAGUCAUCAUGGCCCUUACGAGUAGGGCUACACACGUGCUACAAUGGCGCAUACAGAGGGCAGCAAAAUGGCAACAUUAAG